UUUAUGCUUCCUCAUAUCGAAAAGUUAGCUGUGGAAACUAAUUGUGACAAAUAUUUUCUCUUCAUUCUCACUUCUGCGGAAAACCCAAUUUCAUUGUCUACAGUCAAUGCAAGAACGUUGACUUCGGAGGAGGUGGCUUCUAAUGAAUCAUCUGGUGGAGAGAAAUGCGUUUAUGGGAAAGUAUCUCUGAAAUUUCUUUAUGAGAUUUUGAAUAUAUCUCCAGAUUCUCCUUUGCAAUAUCGAACUGAG
rnacentral:sRNA from 1 species